rnacentral:rRNA from 1 species
AUUGAACGCUGGCGGCAUGCUUUACACAUGCAAGUCGAACGGCAGCGGGGAGGAGCUUGCUUCUCUGCCGGCGAGUGGCGAACGGGUGAGUAAUACAUCGGAACGUGUCGAGAAGAGGGGGAUAACCACCCGAAAGGGUGGCUAAUACCGCAUAAAUUCUGAGGAAGAAAGCUGGGGACCUAGGAAUAGGCCUAGCGCUUUUUGAGCGGCCGAUGUCGGAUUAGCUAGUUGGUGAGGUAAAGGCUCACCAAGGCGAAGAUCUGUAGCGGGUCUGAGAGGAUGAUCCGCCACACUGGGACUGAGACACGGCCCAGACUCCUACGGGAGGCAGCAGUGGGGAAUUUUGGACAAUGGGGGCAACCCUGAUCCAGCCAUGCCGCGUGUAUGAAGAAGGCCUUAGGGUUGUAAAGUACUUUUGUUAGGGAAGAAAAGUCAGCUGUGAAUAAUGGCUGAUACUGACGGUACCUAAAGAAUAAGCUCCGGCUAACUACGUG